GACGACGCUGGCGGCGUGCCUAAUACAUGCAAGUAGGACGAGUUGCGAACGGGUGAGUAACGCGUGGUAACCUACCUAUUAGAGGGGGAUAACUAUUGGAAACGGUAGCUAAUCCCGCAUACCAUCGGCUGUUCCCAGAUGGGAUUAGCUAGUAGGUGGGGUAACGGCUCACCUAGGCGACGAUCUCUAGCUGGUCUGAGAGGAUGAUCAGCCAAACUGGGACUGAGACACGGCCCAGACUCCUACGGGGGGCAGCAGUGGGGAAUAUUGCACAAUGGGCGCAAGCCUGAUGCAGCCAUGCCGCGUGUAUGAAGAAGGCCUUAGGGUUGUAAAGUACUUUCAGCGGGGAGGCGUUACCCGAAGAAGAAGCACCGGCUAACUCCGUGCCAGCAGCCGCGGUAAUUC
rnacentral:rRNA from 1 species